rnacentral:rRNA from 1 species
UAAUUCGAUGCAACGCGAAGAACCUUACCUACUCUUGACAUCCAGAGAACUUUCCAGAGAUGGAUUGGUGCCUUCGGGAACUCUGAGACAGGUGCUGCAUGGCUGUCGUCAGCUCGUGUUGUGAAAUGUUGGGUUAAGUCCCGCAACGAGCGCAACCCUUAUCCUUGUUUGCCAGCGAGUAAUGUCGGGAACUCCAGGGAGACUGCCGGUGAUAAACCGGAGGAAGGUGGGGACGACGUCAAGUCAUCAUGGCCCUUACGAGUAGGGCUACACACGUGCUACAAUGGCGCAUACAGAGGGCGGCCAACUUGCGAAAGUGAGCGAAUCCCAAAAAGUGCGUCGUAGUCCGGAUUGGAGUCUGCAACUCGACUCCAUGAAGUCGGAAUCGCUAGUAAUCGUGGAUCAGAAUGCCACGGUGAAUACGUUCCCGGGCCUUGUACACACCGCCCGUCACACCAUGGGAGUGGGCUGCAAAAGAAGUAGGUAGUUUAACCUUCGGGGGGACGCUUACCACUUUGUGGUUCAUGACUGGGGUGAAGUCGUAACAAGGUAGCGCUAGGGGAACCUGGCGCUGGAUCACCUCCUUAAACGAUGAU